UACCAGCACCCCGAGUGGUCGGGACGAUUAUUGGGCCUAAAGCAUCCGUAGCCGGUCCUACAAGUCUUCCGUUAAAUCCACCUGCUUAACAGAUGGGCUGCGGAAGAUACUAUAGGGCUAGGAGGCGGGAGAGGCAAGCGGUACUCAGUGGGUAGGGGUAAAAUCCUCUGAUCCAUUGAAGACCACCAGUGGCGAAGGCGGCUUUCUGGUCUGUAACUGACGCUGAGGCGCGAAAGCGUGGGGAGCAAACAGG
rnacentral:rRNA from 1 species